rnacentral:piRNA from 1 species
UGGAUAUAACCUGUUCCUGUGUCCUUGGGU